CAUCGAAAUUGGCACCAAAGCGUUUGAAAAGAAAGCGUGCAAUUAGUCAAGAAGACUAACAAAGGCAUUAUCUUUGCAGUUUUUUCCUUUUUAAGAUAUAUCUAGCUCUUUUGCAAUCCUUCUAGCCUUUUGUAAUGAACUACGUGUGACCUGAUUCCUGUCGAUAGCGGGAUACGUAGGCGCCUAUUUUGGGUUCGGUCUCAAUAUAAUUAAAAUUUCAUUCUCCC
rnacentral:lncRNA from 1 species